AGGCAUUUGAGGACUUUUGGCAGU
rnacentral:piRNA from 1 species